rnacentral:tRNA from 1 species
AGUAGCAUAAUUGGUUAAUGCAACAGACUGUUAAUCUGUAGAUUGCUGGUUCGAGUCCAGCCU